GCGCCUCUCGCAUACAAUAAUAUUGUGCAAGUAUAUACUAAGUAUAUUAGUAGGUAUAAGUACUAUAUUCAUAAGUAGUAGACGAUUGCACGGAAUCGUCGACACACUCGCAAUAAUUAUGUCCCCGUGCCACGUUUAUUCGACCGAUCUGGAUACGAUUCGUUAUUACUGGUCAUUUUUUACGAAAUCCAUCACAGUUGUAAAAGACGAUCGUUCGAUAUAUAUUUUAUCAGACACAACGUGGGAACAUUAAAUAAAGUGCUUCGGCGAUCUGCCAACAGCAGCAGUUAGGCGAUGAAACGGCGGUGGAGCAUGAUGGUAACCGCUACUACUGUGCUAUUAGUCACUUUGGUCGUUCGUUGCGCGGCCGGUUACGACAUACUAGCAAUAUUUCCGUUUAGCGGCAAAAGCCAUUUUCACAUGUUUCGUGCUGUUUCGGACGCCUUGGCAGCACGUGGACAUCAUCUCACCGUCGUCGGACACUUUCCUAAAACCCCACAGGAACCUCAGACACCGCAGCCAUCGCAAAUUGGCGUCAUUGACAACAGCGAUGCCAAAGGUCGUGGGUCUUACACUGAUUACAGUCUAUUCGGCUCGAUGCCUGUGUAUGAGAACUUCACUGCCGACGAGGUGACGGGCAACGGUUACCUGGAAGAAAUGCUAAUAAUUCUCCAGGACGGUUUGGAUAACUGUGAAUCAGUUUUGUCUUCAGGGAAACUCAGCCAACUCAUUCAAUCCCGGGCAAAAUUCGAUCUAGUACUGGUCGAGAUCUUCAACACCGGUUGCUUCGUGUCGAUAGCCAAUCAUUUCGGGGCGCCUGUCGUCGGCAUUACUUCGACCAGCCUCUAUCCGUGGUUCGGCGAUAUGGUUGGCAACGUGGUUACGCCGUCGUAUGUGCCGGUAAACUUGUUACCGUUCACCAGCCGGAUGACGUUUGCUGAACGCUUGAUCAACUCCGUGAUUCUGAUAGCGAUGAAAACGUAUUACAAGUUCAAAUACGAACCGACGGCUCAAGAAAUCGUUGAUAAAUACUUAGGAAAACUCAACGGUGGUACGGUGUCCGAAUCCUUGAACGACGUUAACGCCAUCAUCGCAAACACACAUUUCGUGUUUGGAGAUUCCCGACCAGUACCGCCAGGUAUCAUUGAAGUUGGAGGAUGUACUUACAAGAAACCAAUGCCCCUGCCGCCAGAAUUGGAACGAUAUGUGGCCGAGGCCCAACGAGGUGUAAUUUACUUUUCGAUGGGUUCCAUAGUGAAAGGUUCGUCAUUACCAGCCGCCCAAUUACAGGCAAUAUUCCGGGUGUUCGGCCAACUGGAUGGCUACAGAGUGCUGUGGAAAUGGGAAGACAAUCCUCCACCGCUGGAAAUCCGUCCCAAAAACGUUAUGUUCAUGCCGUGGAUGCCUCAGUUCGAUGUACUCAAUCACCCGAACGUUAAAUUGUUUAUAUCGCACGGUGGUCUAAUGGGAAUACUAGACGCUCUUUAUUCGGGCGUGCCCAUCGUUGGCAUACCACUGUUCGCCGACCAGUUUUCAAACAUGAACUAUAUCGUCCAAAACGGCUGCGGACUGCAAUUGCAACUCGACUGGAUCGACGAAGAGAUCGCCAACUACACGAUAUCCUCUAUACUCCAUGAUGAUAAAAAAUCCGGAACCUUGGACAUGAACGCUAGAAAUCCGUUUGAUAAACGAAAUUUGUGGACAAUUUUACGGGCGAUAGCAUCCGAAGGAUGAAAAAACAUACAAUUAUUAUUAAGCCACCCACAGUCCUCUGCACUCUAUAUGAGGUACAUCCUUCUUACCCUUUGAGAUCCCAGUAUACGAAGAACGCGAAACGGCUAUCGGCACUAUACCGGGAUCGUGAUCGAGACCCGCUGGAAAAAGCUGUUUAUUGGAUCGAAUACGUUGCCAAAUAUCGAGUCAACCUGAUGCUUAAGCCGACCACACAAGACUGGU